UACGUAGGGCGCAAGCGUUGUCCGGAAUUAUUGGGCGUAAAGCGCUCGUAGGCGGCUUGUCACGUCGGGUGUGAAAGCCCGGGGCUUAACCCCGGGUCUGCAUUCGAUACGGGAUAGCUAGAGUGUGGUAGGGGAGAUCGGAAUUCCUGGUGUAGCGGUGAAAUGCGCAGAUAUCAGGAGGAACACCGGUGGCGAAGGCGGAUCUCUGGGCCGAUACUGACGCUGAGGAGCGAAAGCGUGGGGAGCGAACAGG
rnacentral:rRNA from 1 species